rnacentral:rRNA from 1 species
UACGUAGGGGGCAAGCGUUGUCCGGAAUCAUUGGGCGUAAAGAGCGUGUAGGCGGCUCGAUAAGUCUGCUGUGAAAGUCCAGGGCUCAACCCUGGAAGGCCGGUGGAAACUGUCGGGCUAGAGUCCGGAAGAGGCGAGUGGAAUUCCCGGUGUAGCGGUGAAAUGCGCAGAUAUCGGGAGGAACACCUGCGGCGAAGGCGGGUUGCUGGGCUGACACUGACGCUGAUUGUGCGAAAGCUAGGGGAGCGAACGGG